AUGAACGCUGGCGGCGUGCCUAAUACCUGCAAGUCGCGCGAACAGACGAGGAGCUUGCUCCUCUGACGUUAGCGGCGGACGGGUGAGUAACACGUGGAUAACCUACCUAUAAGACUGGGAUAACUUCGGGAAACCGGAGCUAAUACCGGAUAAUAUAUUGAACCGCAUGGUUCAAUAGUGAAAGACGGUUUUGCUGUCACUUAUAGAUGGAUCCGCGCCGCAUUAGCUAGUUGGUAAGGUAACGGCUUACCAAGGCAACGAUGCGUAGCCGACCUGAGAGGGUGAUCGGCCACACUGGAACUGAGACACGGUCCAGACUCCUACGGGAGGCAGCAGUAGGGAAUCUUCCGCAAUGGGCGAAAGCCUGACGGAGCAACGCCGCGUGAGUGAUGAAGGUCUUCGGAUCGUAAAACUCUGUUAUUAGGGAAGAACAAAUGUGUAAGUAACUAUGCACGUCUUGACGGUACCUAAUCAGAAAGCCACGGCUAACUACGU
rnacentral:rRNA from 1 species